ensembl:lncRNA
GGUCUCUCCCCGCCUACAUUAGAGUGACGACGGUGGAAGAGUGAACUUCGAGGAAGACGCUACGGUCGCUUUUUUUCCUGAGCUAAUUGGCUACAAACCAACAAAUUCGAGCAUUUUGAGUUUCUCUGACAGCUUUUCGUCUUUUGAUAUACUUCUGGGGGGCAACAAUUUCCCACAGCGUUUGCCCUUUGAAUCGACUUCAACAGAAAGAAGACCUUCUAGUUACAGUCGAACUGGUAAGACAAACAUCGCCGUUGGCUUUAUUUUAUUUCUAAGUUAGAGUUACACGAAACGGUUUCAGAUUAAAAACAAACAAACAAAAAAGGUUGUGACUAAUGCAAAUUGAGUGAUGUGGAUAAGUUAUUAUUUGCGAAUGUUGCUCAACGAUGGAGACGCGUUAGCUCAGGGUUACGUCAACCUGGAACUUUCCAGUUCAAGCCGGUUUAGCCGGUGAGGUUACACAACACUGCUUUGCUCACUAGGGGCAGCAGAGUGGUUAUGCAACGGUUAUGCUGUCUUUUAAUAGACUUUAACCGCUGACACACGUUUCUAACACAGAAUGUAACUUAAAGUAUUCCUUUUAUAAGCUGUUUAAUGUUCAGGGAGCAGUUUUUAGUUUUAGCUUGCCUUGAAAUGUGAUUUACCAGUAGUCUGCAGUCGCGUUUUGCUCUAGGGAUCUUUCUCUCUAGGUCAUUGAGAAAGUGGUGGUAAUGCCACAUUAAAAAGACUUCGUUCCAGUAAAGUAUUUAAAAUUACUGAGGCGUGUUGAUCACUUAACACUAGAUGUACUAAACCUGCACAAAUUUGCGUAACUUCCCUCAAUCCAACACCUACUAGAAUUACUGGCUUUUUUAUUUUCUGGUGCAAGUUCUGAGGUGUAAAUCACCCCUGCUGAGAUUUUCACAGGUCGUCAGCUCGUUUCUCCUCCAGCUUUUGUUGUGCCAACCACCCAUUAUCCUUGAGGUCUGCAAUGUGCCAGGCCUCAAGGAUAAUGGAUAAUGCAUUUGUUUACUCAGAGUAGCUCAGAUCCAAGACAGGCCAAACCUCUGUGUUACAACCGUCACAAAUGUCUAUAAAAUAUCCCACACAUUGACUGAUCUGCAAUUAUGAAAGGCACACAUUCACACCUUCCCUGACUCUCAGCACAGAUCUUCCAUUAUUCCAUUGUGACUGUGUAUGUGUAUGACUGGCAUUGCAUUACUACAGCACAGCGCUGUGCAUAAAUGCAGACCGACCAGGCCAUCCUGAGACGGAACAAGAAACCAACAUGCCUCCACGGAAGAGGAAUAUGUCCACAGUGCAUCUCCUUACUUGGGAAAGGACCCCAGUGAUCAGAAGGGAGAGAGGCUGGCAGAGAACGUGGUCAUGAAACUGUUUUUGUUUGAUGGGAGAAAUGUCACAAUGGACAAUUUCUUUACUUCACUGUCACUGUCGCACAGACUGCUGCAACGCAAAACGACGUUAAGGGGCACAGUGAAUAAAGUCUGGCGUGAACUUCCUCAACUUGCGCGGAUGUAUUCCGUAAGAGCAGCAACACGCAGGUGGCCAGUAGCGGUUUUCUGCAAUAUACUGGACCUGGCGGUGGUGAAUGCCUACAUUUUGUACAAGGCAUGUACAGGGUGGUCAGGCAAAAGAAGAUUGUUUCUGAGUCUUCUAGCUCAGGAACUUCGUUGCCGAUUCAUACAGCACAAGGAAAUAUUAGCACAGAGGCAAGCUGCUGCAGCUGCUGUGCCAGGGACUGUAAAGACAACGCAGUGCCAGGUGCAAGAGAGCCGCAACGGGAAUCGCAGCAGGUUUACCUGUGCAACAUGUCAGAAAUUCACCUGUGCCAAAUGCAGGGAUGAUGGACACUGGGUCUGCAAACGCUGUAAAGUUUGAAACACUGAAAUAAAACAGACUUGUGUACCCAUAUAUUGUGAAUGUCUGUCUUUUGUAUCGAUUUGGUAGGAAUUUCUGAAGGUUGUAACAGAGGUUUGGCCUUGGAUCGGAGUAAACAAAUGGCAAUGUUGCGCACGCAGCAAAUCGACAUUAGUCCCACAAGUGGAAAAUCUGCAUUGUUAUUGCAGAAAAGUGGACAG